CAAAAAGACCAAAAAUCAGCUAGGGUCCCAAAAGUAGAGGGAGUUACGUUUCGGCCACGACGGUGAUCAUGGUCGUAAUGAUUCCGAGAUGCAGAAAAGAAAAACCCGAAAAGUACCCAACAAAAGAGAGUCCGUAGCCAUGUAAUUAAGGUGCUGCACAGUGGAACUAAAUUGUGGCUGCUGCCACUGCAAAAACAGUAAGUGGAAAUGGAGAUACAAAGCGGCAACAGGCAGAAGACCAGAAAUAAGUGGUAGAAAAGAGAAGACGGAAAAACGGUAGCUGCCUCAUAGGGCGAGCGAAUUGUUAUGCUAGUCGUCGUCGACUUCCCCCAUCAACAACUGUUGCUCUUGCUGCACUCGGAAAAUAAUUUUCAGCAUAUAUAAAUAACAAUAAGUAAAUAAGAAAUAAAAUAAAUAAUUACCAUAAUUGGUCUCCCUUAUAAUUGGAUUCCACAAUACAUAAAAUUGAAAUUGACUAUUGUUUAAUAAUAAUAUCUAAUAUCUAACCCUUACCUUGCUCUUUUUGCUU
ensembl:ncRNA lncRNA:CR43704 long non-coding RNA:CR43704